CUACGUGCCAGCAGCCGCGGUAAUACGUAGGUCCCGAGCGUUGUCCGGAUUUAUUGGGCGUAAAGCGAGCGCAGGCGGUUAGAUAAGUCUGAAGUUAAAGGCUGUGGCUUAACCAUAGUACGCUUUGGAAACUGUUUAACUUGAGUGCAGAAGGGGAGAGUGGAAUUCCAUGUGCAGCGGUGAAAUGCGUAGAUAUAUGGAGGAACACCGGUGGCGAAAGCGGCUCUCUGGCUUGUAACUGACGCUGAGGCUCGAAAGCGUGGGGAGCAAACAGGAUUAGAUACCCUGGUAGUCCACGCCGUAAACGAUGAGUGCUAGGUGUUAGACCCUUUCCGGGGUUUAGUGCCGUAGCUAACGCAUUAAGCACUCCGCCUGGGGAGUACGACCGCAAGGUUGAAACUCAAAKGAAUUGACGGGGGCCCGCACAAGCGGUGGAGCAUGUGGUUUAAUUCGAUGCAACGCGAAGAACCUUACCUGG
rnacentral:rRNA from 1 species